AAGAGGACGACGAGACAUUAAUAACAAGAGUGCACUUUAUUGUGGCUCAAAAUUUACUUAAUUUCACCCUGAACACUUGGUUGUGUGACUUGUUCAUUGCAACCAGGUAUGUGUAACACAAUUCUUUUUUUUAUUGUGUUACAUUAUCCCCCUCAAUCAUUUUUUUUUUUAAACCCAAGUUGAAUUAUAAGAAUGUAAAUAUUUUAAUAAUAAAAAAUAACUUUUAACAAUGGAUCUCUAGGCUCUCACAUCGAUGAAAAACACAGUGAAAUGUGAUAAGUAAUGUGAAUUGCAAAAUUCAGUGAAUCAUUGAAUCUUUGAACGCACCUUGCACCUUUUGGUAUUCCAAAAGGUACACCUGUUUGAGUGUCAUGAAAAUCUCUCAUCAAAUUAAUUUUUGGUGGAUGUUGAGUGCUGCUGUUAUCUAGCUCACUUUAAAUAUAUAAGUCAUUUUAUGAAUCUUGGAUUGACUUGGUGUAAUAUUUUUUUGAUCAUCAAGGAAAGUAGCAAUACUUGCCAAUAUUUAUUUUCAAGGACUACUAAACCCUUCAACUUAUUUUUAAAACCUCAAAUCAGGUGGGACUACCUGCUGAACUUAAGCAUAUAAUAAGCGGAGGA
rnacentral:rRNA from 1 species